CUAAUUCGAUAAACAAGAGGCGAAGUUGCCAACGCCUGAGAUAGUGGUUCCUACCUCUGGCCUUCGCACCUUUAGUUCCGCAAGUAGUUAAGCAACUCAAAUGGCCAGCGAUUUGCUUUCUCCUUGGUUUACAGUGGCUGCAGCCUCCUAUUUGUGACGUCGUAGCCCCAAAGUGGUACAUGUGUGAUCUUCAUGGAGCUAGCCAUCAUUGGAUUUGGUAAUACAUAAUCACUUAUUCAGAGAGCCCAAGGUGAGAAGGGACGAGCAUCUAGAACACCACCACCUACUAAUCAGUGAGCUACUAUCCGCCUUUGAAUGAGUUACUUAACAAGAGAAGGCAGGAGUUUCCUACCUUUCUUCUGCAAAUCUGGAAUGCCUUUAUGGCAUGAUCAUGUGAAAAAAGUACCUUGAUGCAGUAAUGGAUUUGAUUAUCACUGGUUACUCUGUUUUCACGAAUUACUAUCCAACUGUAAGUCUGUUCUAUACCCUAAGGCCCAUGUAAAUCUGAUAGAAGAUUAAGCUAUUUAAUUUUAACUAAAAAGGAUAAUAUUCUUUCAGUCGCUUGAAUCUGUCCAGACCUGAAAAAUACUUAUACUUUGAAAGCUUUAUAUAUGAGUAUGUAAUUUUACAGGUAUG